rnacentral:miRNA from 1 species
UGAGGGCCUGAGGGUGGU